GUAUUUUGUACUGGGGCAAAAACAAAAUCAGCCGAACUGAAAUAUGAAAUCACGUAAAAGUCAUUUCUCUCUUUCUUCUCUCCUUCUUCUCUUUUCAUUCAUCGUUUCCACCGCCAGUACCACCUUCCUCCAUUGAAUCAACCGAUCAUGUUUUCUUCAUCCAAUUUUGUAGUCUAUACUCAACAAUUCCAUGACUCUGCCUCCGAAUUUGUCUCAUCAUCACCAAUGAUGAAAACUUCGUCACUAAGUUCAUAAGCGACCAGAAUCACUUGGAUUGGGAGUAGUAUGGUUGCUUGAUUAAAAUGCUAGCCUUGAAGGUGUGUGAUCUUCCUCAAGGUAGUUCAUUGCAAGUUGAUAUUCUUUAUUUAUUUUUUUCCAUCUGAAACCGUAGAUUUAACUUUGUUAGAAUUCAUGAACCUUUUCAUCUCCCAUUUUCUUUUUCUUUCGGGGAUUUUUAUCUUUAGAGCCCAUUGGCCUCCCCCUUUUCAAUUGAACCUUAGGUUCAUUAGCUUUGCUUCCAUCAAGUUCCUCUCUAGGAAUUUCAACUCUUGCUGGUGCAUUUGCAGCGGGGAUAUAUGACUUUGUCACCCUUUUUGUAUCUGUGAACGCAUCUGGUAAUUGAUUUGCCAAACCUUGUAAAUGUACAAUUUUCUGAACUUCCAGUUCACGUUGAUUUGUAGGGGGAUCAAUGUAUAUCAAAGAUGGUGUAUACCAUGUAAUAUCUUUUGGUACUUGUUUAAUUCCUCCCCCUAACGCUGGAAAUUCAUCUUCAUUAAAAUGGCAAUCGGCAAAACGUGCCGUAAACAUAUCACCAGUUUGCGGUUCAAGAUAUCGAAUUAUACUCGGGGAUGCAUAACCGACGUAUAUACCCAAUCUCUGUUAUGGCCCCAUUUUUGUUCUUUGUGGUGGGGCUUUAGGCACAUAAACCGCACAUCCAAAAAUACGGAGAUAAGAUAUGUUUGGCUCUUGGCCAGAUGCCAAUUGUAAAGGGGA